rnacentral:rRNA from 2 species
UGGGGAAUAUUGGGCAAUGGGCGAAAGCCUGACCCAGCAACGCCGCGUGAAGGAAGAAGGUUUUCGGAUUGUAAACUUCUGUCCUCAGGGAAGAAGGAAGUGACGGUACCUGAGGAGGAAGCCCCGGCUAACUACGUGCCAGCAGCCGCGGUAAUACGUAGGGGGCGAGCGUUGUCCGGAAUGACUGGGCGUAAAGGGCGCGUAGACGGUUUUUUAAGUCUGGAGUGAAAGUCCUGCUUUCAAGGUGGGAAUUGCUUUGGAGACUGGGGGACUUGAGUGCGGAAGAGGUAAGUGGAAUUCCCAGUGUAGCGGUGAAAUGCGUAGAGAUUGGGAAGAACACCAGUGGCGAAGGCGACUUACCAAGCUAUUAUUGACGCUGAGGCACGAAAGCGUGGGGAUCGAACAGG